CAUGCGCAGCGUACACAUGCAGUCGAGCGGAACGAUGGAGCUUGCUCCAGGCGUCGAGCGGCGGACGGGUGAGUAAUGCAUAGGAAUCUGCCCGGUAGUGGGGGAUAACCUGGGGAAACCCAGGCUAAUACCGCAUACGUCCUACGGGAGAAAGCAGGGGAUCUUCGGACCUUGCGCUAUCGGAUGAGCCUAUGUCGGAUUAGCUUGUUGGUGAGGUAAUGGCUCACCAAGGCGACGAUCCGUAGCUGGUCUGAGAGGAUGAUCAGCCACAUCGGGACUGAGACACGGCCCGAACUCCUACGGGAGGCAGCAGUGGGGAAUAUUGGACAAUGGGCGAAAGCCUGAUCCAGCCAUGCCGCGUGUGUGAAGAAGGCUUUCGGGUUGUAAAGCACUUUCAGUGAGGAAGAAGGCCUUGGGGCUAAUACCCCCGAGGAAGGACAUCACUCACAGAAGAAGCACCGGCUAACUCCGUGCCAGCAGCCGCGGUAAUACGGAGGGUGCGAGCGUUAAUCGGAAUUACUGGGCGUAAAGCGCGCGUAGGCGGCGUGAUAAGCCGGUUGUGAAAGCCCCGGGCUCAACCUGGGAACGGCAUCCGGAACUGUCAGGC
rnacentral:rRNA from 1 species